rnacentral:rRNA from 1 species
GUAAUACAUCGGAACGUGCCCAGUAGUGGGGGAUAGCCCGGCGAAAGCCGGAUUAAUACCGCAUACGACCUACGGGUGAAAGCGGGGGACCGAAAGGCCUCGCGCUAUUGGAGCGGCCGAUGGCUGAUUAGCUAGUUGGUGGGGUAAAGGCCUACCAAGGCUACGAUCAGUCGCUGGUCUGAGAGGACGACCAGCCACACUGGGACUGAGACACGGCCCAGACUCCUACGGGAGGCAGCAGUGGGGAAUUUUGGACAAUGGGCGAAAGCCUGAUCCAGCAAUGCCGCGUGUGCGAAGAAGGCCUUCGGGUUGUAAAGCACUUUUGUCAGGAAAGAAAUUGUCUGGGCUAAUACCCCGGGCCGUUGACGGUACCUGAAGAAUAAGCACCGGCUAACUACGUGCCAGCAGCCGCGGUAAUACGUAGGGUGCGAGCGUUAAUCGGAAUUACUGGGCGUAAAGCGUGCGCAGGCGGUUUGUUAAGACAGUUGUGAAAUCCCCGGGCUCAACCUGGGAACUGCAAUUGUGACUGGCAGGCUAGAGUUUGGCAGAGGGGGGUGGAAUUCCUGGUGUAGCAGUGAAAUGCGUAGAUAUCAGGAGGAACACCGAUGGCGAAGGCAGCCCCCUGGGCCAUGACUGACGCUCAUGCA